CCAGCCCAGAGGUGAGAGCCAUCCAAAGCAGAGUAACUGUGCUUUGUGUCCAAGUUGAUACCUGUGGAGAGGAAAGGAAAGAGAGAGUGAGUAACACAAGGAGAAACAGAGGAAACCUGUACUUACAGUACGCUGUGUUCAGCCCAGAGGUGAGAGCCAUUCAAAGCAAACUAACUGUGCUAUUGUGCCCAAGUUGAUACCUGUGGAGAGAAAAGGAGAGAGAGUGAAUAACACGAGGAGGAAUAGAGCGAACCCUGUACUUACAGUAUGUUGUGUCCAGCCCAGAGGUGAAAGCCAUCCAAAGCAGAGUAACUGUGUUUUGUGUCCAAGUUGAUACCUGUAGAGAGGAGGAGAGAGAGUGGAUAACGCGAGGAGAAAUAGAGCGAAACCUGUACUUACAGUACGCUGUGUUCAGCCCAGAGGUGAGAGCCAUUCAAAGCAAACUAACUGUGCUAUUGUGCCCAAGUUGAUACCUGUGGAGAGAAAAGGAGAGAGAGUGGGUAACACGAGGAGAGACCGAGGAAACCUGUAUUUACGCCGCUGCCUGUGG